CUAUUCAAACGAGAGGCGCUCCACAAAAGAGACUCUUCUAAACCAUCAGAGAUUGCCCCUAAAGGGCAAAAUUCUUCCCUUCUCUUCUCUGCAGAAACCACGAUCAAAGAGAAACCAUCUCUCUCUCGGUCCCAUAUUCCAAGAAGACCCAAGGAUGCCUUUAUCUUGGGUCGCAGCUGUGCUGGUGCUGUCUGUUCUAAGACAGAGCAAAGGAGACUCAGUCACCCAAACGAAAGGCAGCGUCCUCAUCUCCCAAGGAGAAUCGGUGGUUGUUAACUGCACCUAUGAGGCUCUCUCUCCCUCUCUCUUCUGGUACGUGCAGUUCCCCAACCAGCCCCCCAGGCUCUUCCUGAAGAACUUGGGACGCGAGGAGUCUGAUGAAGGGAUCAGAAAGGGGUUCAAUGCCUCCCACGAUACAAAGCUCAAAUCCUUCCACCUGUCGAAACCGUUCAGCGACCUGGGCGACUCCGGGACCUAUUACUGCGCCCUGAGCGACACAAGCGGGUCUCGAAAGUUUGUC